AUUGAACGCUGGCGGCAGGCUUAACACAUGCAAGUCUAACGUGUGUCGGACGGGUGUGUAUUUCUUGGGAAUCUAGCUUAUGGAGGGGGAUAACUACGGGAAACUGUAGCUAAUACCGCGUACCAUAGGAUGAGCCCAAGUGGGAUUAGGUAGUUGGUGAGGUAAGGGCGCACCAAGCCGACGAUCUCUAGCUGGGCUGAGAGGAUGACCCGCCACACUGGGACUUAGACACGGACCAGACUCCGCCGGGAGGCAGCAGUGGGGAAUAUUGCGCAAUGGGGGCAACCUGACGCAGCCAUGCCGGGUGAAUGAAGAAGGCCUUGGGGUUGUAAAGUUCUUUCGGUAGCGAGGCGUUAACUACAGAAGCAGCACCGGCUAACUCCGUGUCAGCAGCCGCGGUAAUAC
rnacentral:rRNA from 1 species